rnacentral:rRNA from 1 species
UACGUAGGUGGCAAGCGUUGUCCGGAUUUACUGGGCGUAAAGAGCGCGCAGGCGGUCGUUCAAGUCGCGUGUGAAAGCCCCCGGCUCAACUGGGGAGGGUCACGCGAUACUGAUCGACUCGAAGGCAGGAGAGGGUAGUGGAAUUCCCGGUGUAGUGGUGAAAUGCGUAGAUAUCGGGAGGAACACCAGUGGCGAAGGCGACUACCUGGCCUGUCCUUGACGCUGAGGCGCGAAAGCCAGGGGAGCGAACGGG